rnacentral:rRNA from 1 species
UGGGGGAUAUUGCACAAUGGGGGAAACCCUGAUGCAGCGACGCCGCGUGGGUGAAGGAGCACUUCGGUGCGUAAAGCCCUAUCGGCAGGGAAGAAAAGGGGGAAACCCCAGACGGUACCUGACUAAGAAGCCCCGGCUAACUACGUGCC